UACGAAGGGGGCUAGCGUUGCUCGGAAUCACUGGGCGUAAAGGGCGCGUAGGCGGCCAUUUAAGUCGGGGGUGAAAGCCUGUGGCUCAACCACAGAAUUGCCUUCGAUACUGGAUGGCUUGAGUCGGUAGAGGUUGGUGGAACUGCGAGUGUAGAGGUGAAAUUCGUAGAUAUUCGCAAGAACACCGGUGGCGAAGGCGGCCAACUGGACCGACACUGACGCUGAGGCGCGAAAGCGUGGGGAGCAAAC
rnacentral:rRNA from 1 species